UGAAGUGUAGUUUAAGGUAAAAUAAGGGUCUUUGAUUCCCUUGAUGAAAGUUCGUAACUUUUCGCUUCAG
rnacentral:tRNA from 1 species